GAUGAACGCUGGCGGCGUGCCUAAUACAUGCAAGUCGAGCGAACAGACGAGGAGCUUGCUCCUCUGACGUUAGCGGCGGACGGGUGAGUAACACGUGGAUAACCUACCUAUAAGACUGGGAUAACUUCGGGAAACCGGAGCUAAUACCGGAUAAUAUAUUGAACCGCAUGGUUCAAUAGUGAAAGACGGUUUUGCUGUCACUUAUAGAUGGAUCCGCGCCGCAUUAGCUAGUUGGUAAGGUAACGGCUUACCAAGGCAACGAUGCGUAGCUGACCUGAGAGGGUGAUCGGCCACACUGGAACUGAGACACGGUCCAGACUCCUACGGGAGGCAGCAGUAGGGAAUCUUCCGCAAUGGGCGAAAGCCUGACGGAGCAACGCCGCGUGAGUGAUGAAGGUCUCCGGAUCGUAAAACUCUGUUAUUAGGGAAGAACAAAUGUGUAAGUAACUAUGCACGUCUUGACGGUACCUAAUCAGAAAGCCACGGCUAACUACGUG
rnacentral:rRNA from 1 species